AUGGAAGUUGUUGACCAUCUCAUGGGAGACAAAGAGCAACAGCUGAGGGUGGUAUCGAUCCAUGGAUUUGGAGGUCUUGGCAAGACCACACUUGCUAAUGAGGUGUAUCAUGAGCUUCGGGGGAGAUUUGAGUGCCAUGCUUUCGUGUAUGCUGGCCGUAACCAGCACAUACGGACCACUCUGUUGGAAAUGUUGUCUCAAGUCAGCGACGGGCAACCUGCAGGCUUGGAAUCAAUGGAGGAGCAGCAAGUCAUCAAACAACUAAGAGAAUCCCUCGAAAAAAAGAGGUACUUGAUUGUCAUUGAUGAUAUAUGUAUGCCAUCGGUCUGGAAAGUUAUCAAGUGCGCUUUGCGUGAUGGUAUGCAUGGAAGCAAGAUAAUUACAACAACCCGCAUUCACGACGUGGCCAAAUUAUGUUGCAACCGUCCAACUGAUACUAUCUAUCCGAUGGGUCAACUUGGUGAGGUUGACUCCAAAAAACUGCUAUCGAGCAGGAUAUUUGAUUUGGAAAGAAAACCACCAUCUGAUUCGGACGGUUUUCUGAACGACAUAUCCAAAAUAUGCGAUGGCGUACCACUAGCCAUUGCUGUCAUGGCUGGAUUAUUAUCCAGGAAGUUUUUGGAAUUGGCAGAUUGGAAGAAGGUUGAGGAGUAUGUUAUGUCAGGGCUGAAGCAGUACUCCAUGCUGCAAGGGAUAAGAAAGAUACUAUACCUUAGUUAUUCGGACCUUGCAUUGCCACUGAAGACUUGCUUGCUGUAUCUGAGUAUCUUUCCCAAGUAUUAUGAGAUCAAGAAGGGACGCCUGAUAUGGAGAUGGUCUGCCGAAGGAUUCAUCCCAGCAGGCGAAGCAAGUGCUUGGAAAAGGGGAGAAAGCUACUUCAACGCCCUCAUCAACACGAGGCUAAUUCAACCGGUGUUUGGCCACAACGACGACCAGCCUGUGGGAUGCACUGUCCACGGCGUGAUCCUUGAAUUCAUCGCGUCCCUGUCGAGCAAAGAGAACUUCGUCACGACGGACGCUGAAUUGGUUCUCGCUGCACCGCGAGACGCGAUCCGCCGACUCUCCCUCAGCAGCAAUCAGGACGAUGACAUCCUCAAGUCAGAAGCAGACAGUAUGAAUCUGUAUCAAGUCCGGUCCCUUACCCUCUUCAGGAUCGCCAAGUGGAUGGAACCUCACCUCAUAGAUUUCCAGUUGCUACGGGUGCUGGAUCUGGAAGACGUGGAAGGCCUGAAAGAUGAACAUCUUGCUGCUGGGUUAGGCAGGCUGUUCCUUCUCAAGUAUCUGGGUCUUGGCGGAGAAGGUGUCACUGUGCUCCCAAAAGAUGUUGAUGAACUCCAACACAUGGAAACCUUGGACGUUAGACGGACCAGUGUGAAGAACCUUUCUGCAGCAAACAAGCUACCAAAGCUAGCCAGCCUGCUCGCCACGGACGCCAAUGUGUUGCCAGCAGAAGUUGAUAAGAUGCACGAGCUGCAGGAAUUCUCCAUGGUCAGCAUCGGGGACCAAAACUCACUGGAAUGCUUGGCUAAGCUUGCCAAGCUGAAGAGGCUCAGGACUCUCGGGGUGAAGUGGUGUUUCGCGGAUGAUAAUGGCAGCACAGAAGCUCAGAGGAAGAGCUUCGUGACCUCCCUGGGCGAGCUUGGCCUGUCGAGCUCAUCUGGAAUCCCCACCUUUGAGUCCUUGUUCCUCGAUGCUGCUGGCGGUACAAGUUCCCUGGAUUUUCUGGUGAAGUCUUGGGUGCCUCCGCGUGCUCUUCAGAAGUUCAUGAUGACGAGCCCAAACUGCUACUUGAGUGGAGUUCCAGCAAACAUGGCACUGGACACCAGCUCGAGCAUCACCCACCUAGAGAUCGCCAUUGCUCAACUCGGAGACGAGGGUCUCAAGGUCCUGGGCGAGCUGCCGCUUCUGGUGUUCCUCAAGCUUCGCUGCCUACUGACCACAGAGAACUCGCUGACCAUCACGGCCGACAAGUUCCGCAGCCUUCAGGUGUUCAGCUUUGAGUGCCAGGACGGCGGCCUGGGAUUUGUCUUCGGAGAAGGUGCGAUGGCACAGCUUCGAAAGCUUCGGCUCUACUUCAAGGCUGGGGAGGAGAGCAGGCUUCAGGGAGUCGGCCAUCUCUCAGUUUCUUAUCUUUGCCAAGUCCACACCACCGUCUACUGUGCAGGCGUGGAGAUUCUUCCUUCAAGGAUGCAGAGAAAACCAUCACAGAACUGCUAUCCAACCACCCCAAGGAACCCACCUUGGAAAUCACCAAGCAUUAGAAAUCACAGAACUGAAGGAUGA
rnacentral:rRNA from 1 species